UGGGGAUUAGCCAAGUUGGUAAGGCACCUGGUUCUGAGCCAGGCUAUGCGUAGGUUCGAGCCCUACAUCCCCCGCCA
rnacentral:tRNA from 1 species